rnacentral:misc_RNA from 1 species
UUGAUCAAUGUGGCUACAUAAAUUUUGGAAUUGCUUCUGAAAAGGAUAAAGCUGAAAAUGGUGCUGAACACAGCUUGAAAAUUUUGAAGGAAGAGAAGACUAUAGAAAAAUCUGGAGCUUCUGUUGCUGAUAGAGAUGAUGGAGUUUCUUUUAUUCUUGGGAGGUCAAAGAGUUCUGAGAUUAUCAUGCCGGAGAAGAAUGAUGUCUUAUCUGAUGAAGGGAAAAAGACAGAAAAAUGUGGAGCUGAUUGCCAGCUCAUUGAUAGGCGGGCCAUAGAGUUAUCUACUUUGGCAGAGCCGCGAGAAUGUCCUAUUGAUGAUUGCCGUG